UACGUAGGGGGCAAGCGUUAUCCGGAUUUACUAGGUGUAAAGGGAGCGUAGGCGGCGAUGCAAGUCAGAAGUGAAAGCCCGGGGCUCAACUCCGGGACUGCUUUUGAAACUGUGUUGCUAGAUUGCAGGAGAGGUAAGUGGAAUUCCUAGUGUAGCGGUGAAAUGCGUAGAUAUUAGGAGGAACACCAGUGGCGAAGGCGGCUUACUGGACUGUAAAUGACGCUGAGGCUCGAAAGCGUGGGGAGCAAACAGG
rnacentral:rRNA from 1 species